rnacentral:rRNA from 1 species
AAAUGAAGCGGUCUGGAAAGGCCCGCCAAAGACGGUAACAGCCCGGUAGUUGAAAUGGCUUUCCCUCCAGAGUGGAUCCUGAGUACGGCGGAACACGUGAAAUUCCGUCGGAAUCCGGGAGGACCAUCUCCCAAGGCUAAAUACUCCCUAGUGACCGAUAGUGAACCAGUACCGUGAGGGAAAGGUGAAAAGCACCCCGGAAGGGGAGUGAAACAGUUCCUGAAACCGUGUGCCUACAAGUAGUUAGAGCCCGUUAAUGGGUGAUAGCGUGCCUUUUGUAGAAUGAACCGGCGAGUUACGAUUUGUUGCAAGGUUAAGCGGAAAAAGCGGAGCCGUAGCGAAAGCGAG